rnacentral:rRNA from 1 species
UUAAGCGACUAAGCGUACACGGUGGAUGCCCUGGCAGUCAGAGGCGAUGAAGGACGUGCUAAUCUGCGAUAAGCGUCGGUAAGGUGAUAUGAACCGUUAUAACCGGCGAUUUCCGAAUGGGGAAACCCAGUGUGAUUCGUCACACUAUCAUUAACUGAAUCCAUAGGUUAAUGAGGCGAACCGGGGGAACUGAAACAUCUAAGUACCCCGAGGAAAAGAAAUCAACCGAGAUUCCCCCAGUAGCGGCGAGCGAACGGGGAGCAGCCCAGAGCCUGAAUCAGUGUGUGUGUUAGUGGAAGCGUCUGGAAAGGCGCGCGAUACAGGGUGACAGCCCCGUACACAAAAAUGCACAUACUGUGAGCUCGAUGAGUAGGGCGGGACACGUGGUAUCCUGUCUGAAUAUGGGGGGACCAUCCUCCAAGGCUAAAUACUCCUGACUGACCGAUAGUGAACCAGUACCGUGAGGGAAAGGCGAAAAGAACCCCGGCGAGGGGAGUGAAAAAGAACCUGAAACCGUGUACGUACAAGCAGUGGGAGCACAGAGCAAUCUGUGUGACUGCGUACCUUUUGUAUAAUGGGUCAGCGACUUAUAUUCUGUAGCAAGGUUAACCGAAUAGGGGAGCCGAAGGGAAACCGAGUCUUAACUGGGCGUUAAGUUGCAGGGUAUAGACCCGAAACCCGGUGAUCUAGCCAUGGGCAGGUUGAAGGUUGGGUAACACUAACUGGAGGACCGAACCGACUAAUGUUGAAAAAUUAGCGGAUGACUUGUGGCUGGGGGUGAAAGGCCAAUCAAACCGGGAGAUAGCUGGUUCUCCCCGAAAGCUAUUUAGGUAGCGCCUCGUGAAUUCAUCUCCGGGGGUAGAGCACUGUUUCGGCAAGGGGGUCAUCCCGACUUACCAACCCGAUGCAAACUGCGAAUACCGGAGAAUGUUAUCACGGGAGACACACGGCGGGUGCUAACGUCCGUCGUGAAGAGGGAAACAACCCAGACCGCCAGCUAAGGUCCCAAAGUCAUGGUUAAGUGGGAAACGAUGUGGGAAGGCCCAGACAGCCAGGAUGUUGGCUUAGAAGCAGCCAUCAUUUAAAGAAAGCGUAAUAGCUCACUGGUCGAGUCGGCCUGCGCGGAAGAUGUAACGGGGCUAAACCAUGCACCGAAGCUGCGGCAGCGACGCUGAUGCGUUGUUGGGUAGGGGAGCGUUCUGUAAGCCUGUGAAGGUGUGCUGUGAGGCAUGCUGGAGGUAUCAGAAGUGCGAAUGCUGACAUAAGUAACGAUAAAGCGGGUGAAAAGCCCGCUCGCCGGAAGACCAAGGGUUCCUGUCCAACGUUAAUCGGGGCAGGGUGAGUCGACCCCUAAGGCGAGGCCGAAAGGCGUAGUCGAUGGGAAACAGGUUAAUAUUCCUGUACUUGGUGUUACUGCGAAGGGGGGACGGAGAAGGCUAUGUUGGCCGGGCGACGGUUGUCCCGGUUUAAGCGUGUAGGCUGGUUUUCCAGGCAAAUCCGGAAAAUCAAGGCUGAGGCGUGAUGACGAGGCACUACGGUGCUGAAGCAACAAAUGCCCUGCUUCCAGGAAAAGCCUCUAAGCAUCAGGUAACAUCAAAUCGUACCCCAAACCGACACAGGUGGUCAGGUAGAGAAUACCAAGGCGCUUGAGAGAACUCGGGUGAAGGAACUAGGCAAAAUGGUGCCGUAACUUCGGGAGAAGGCACGCUGAUAUGUAGGUGAAGUCCCUCGCGGAUGGAGCUGAAAUCAGUCGAAGAUACCAGCUGGCUGCAACUGUUUAUUAAAAACACAGCACUGUGCAAACACGAAAGUGGACGUAUACGGUGUGACGCCUGCCCGGUGCCGGAAGGUUAAUUGAUGGGGUUAGCGCAAGCGAAGCUCUUGAUCGAAGCCCCGGUAAACGGCGGCCGUAACUAUAACGGUCCUAAGGUAGCGAAAUUCCUUGUCGGGUAAGUUCCGACCUGCACGAAUGGCGUAAUGAUGGCCAGGCUGUCUCCACCCGAGACUCAGUGAAAUUGAACUCGCUGUGAAGAUGCAGUGUACCCGCGGCAAGACGGAAAGACCCCGUGAACCUUUACUAUAGCUUGACACUGAACAUUGAGCCUUGAUGUGUAGGAUAGGUGGGAGGCUUUGAAGUGUGGACGCCAGUCUGCAUGGAGCCGACCUUGAAAUACCACCCUUUAAUGUUUGAUGUUCUAACGUUGACCCGUAAUCCGGGUUGCGGACAGUGUCUGGUGGGUAGUUUGACUGGGGCGGUCUCCUCCUAAAGAGUAACGGAGGAGCACGAAGGUUGGCUAAUCCUGGUCGGACAUCAGGAGGUUAGUGCAAUGGCAUAAGCCAGCUUGACUGCGAGCGUGACGGCGCGAGCAGGUGCGAAAGCAGGUCAUAGUGAUCCGGUGGUUCUGAAUGGAAGGGCCAUCGCUCAACGGAUAAAAGGUACUCCGGGGAUAACAGGCUGAUACCGCCCAAGAGUUCAUAUCGACGGCGGUGUUUGGCACCUCGAUGUCGGCUCAUCACAUCCUGGGGCUGAAGUAGGUCCCAAGGGUAUGGCUGUUCGCCAUUUAAAGUGGUACGCGAGCUGGGUUUAGAACGUCGUGAGACAGUUCGGUCCCUAUCUGCCGUGGGCGCUGGAGAACUGAGGGGGGCUGCUCCUAGUACGAGAGGACCGGAGUGGACGCAUCACUGGUGUUCGGGUUGUCAUGCCAAUGGCACUGCCCGGUAGCUAAAUGCGGAAGAGAUAAGUGCUGAAAGCAUCUAAGCACGAAACUUGCCCCGAGAUGAGUUCUCCCUGACUCCUUGAGAGUCCUGAAGGAACGUUGAAGACGACGACGUUGAUAGGCCGGGUGUGUAAGCGCAGCGAUGCGUUGAGCUAACCGGUACUAAUGAACCGUGAGGCUUAACCUU